rnacentral:rRNA from 1 species
UACAGAGGGUGCAAGCGUUAAUCGGAUUUACUGGGCGUAAAGCGUGCGUAGGCGGUUCGCUAAGUCGGUUGUGAAAUCCCUGGGCUUAACCUGGGAACUGCAGUCGAUACUGGCGGACUAGAGUACGGUAGAGGGUGGCGGAACUCCGGGUGUAGCGGUGAAAUGCGCAGAUAUCAGGAGGAACACCGGUGGCGAAGGCGGGUCUCUGGGCCGAUACUGACGCUGAGGAGCGAAAGCGUGGGGAGCGAACAGG